GACGGGCCUUCCCGCAUGGUAAAGCGGCCAACCGGGUCAGGUGGGGAACCAAGCAGCCCUAACUGUGGAGCCAGAGGCAGCAUCAAGGCUCAUCAAC
rnacentral:SRP_RNA from 1 species